rnacentral:tRNA from 1 species
AGUUUAAUAAUUUAUAUAAAAUAUUUACCUUGAAAGUAAAAAAAAGAAAAUUCUUUAAACUU